ensembl:snRNA U4 U4 spliceosomal RNA
AGCUUUGCGCAGUCGUAGUAUGGUAGCCAAUGAGGUUUAUCCGAGACGAGAUUAUUGCUAAAAAAGGAAACCUAUGCCAUUUCUCAGCUAUACAUGUCUGUUAAAAGGAAAACAUUUCCUUUUGACAACGAA